rnacentral:rRNA from 1 species
GACGAACGCUGGCGGCGUGCUUAACACAUGCAAGUCGAACGGAAAGGCCCUGCUUUUGUGGGGUGCCCGAGUGGCGAACGGGUGAGUAACACGUGAGUAACCUGCCCUUGACUUUCGGAUAACUUCAGGAAACUGGGGCUAAUACCGUAUAGGAGCUCCUGCUGCAUGGUGGGGGUUGGAUAGUUUCGGCGGUUGGGGAUGGACUCGCGGCUUAUCAGCUUGUUGGUGGGGUAGUGGCUUACCAAGGCUUUGACGGGUAGCCGGCCUGAGAGGGUGACCGGCGACAUGGGGACUGAGAUACGGCCCAGAGUGCUACGGGAGGCAGCAGUGGGGAAUAUUGCACAAUGGGCGGAAGCCUGAUGAAGAGACGCCGCGUGCGGGAUGACGGCCUGCGGGUUGAAAACCGCUUUAGCCUGUGACGAAGCGUGAGUGACGGUAAUGGGUAAAGAAGCACCGGCUAACUACGUG